rnacentral:rRNA from 1 species
UGUGACGCUCUCCCCAAGGACGAAGCCAUGCUGGCCCGCUCACCCGGGACGCUGCGGACGGCUCAGGACAACGGUUGCACCCCCCGUGACGGUUUCCUGAUAGCCGGACACCGCUGGCAACCCGGCGCCAAGACGUGCGCGCAAGGGCGGGCGCCCGCGGGCGAGCAGCGUGACGCAG